UGAUGGAGAGGUGCUAUUCGCUAGGAG
rnacentral:sRNA from 1 species